AAAAAAAUGGAGGACAAACAAUACACCUAAUCAAAGAAAUGCAAAUAAAUAGCUGUUUCUUUUUAAAUAAGCUGUCAUUUAUUAAAUACAUGAAAAUGUUUAAGAGGUUGCCUUAUCUUGGUGUAUUUGAGCAUGAUCGGAACAAGAGAUUUAUUAGGGUUGUGUUAUUCCUAAACAGUGAGGGAUUUGUUGCCUUUUUAUAAUAAAAAGAAAAAAAGAUAAAAAAAUAGACAGUGUACCUAAUCAAAGAUAAAAAAUGCAAAUAACGUCUGUUUCUUUUUGAAUUUAUUAUAAUUUGUUAAAUGCAUGAACAUGUUCAAAAGGUUGCUUCAUCUUGACCCUUUUUUUUUAUCAUGAUCAUGUUUUUUUAUAGGGCAACAAACUAAAUGAAAAUGGCCCUUUUAAGCCCUUAUAAAAUAGUCCAAUAGUCAUCUUAGUCUCGGUUAAUUCAUUUGGUUUGUUUAAGCCUUCAAGAUUUAAAAACAAAAUGCAUAAAAAAGCCUAGAGUUCAUGGUGUUAACUCUCCAUCUAUUUGAUAGGGAACAAAGGCAUGCUUUCCUUCUUUUUGAUUGACUCCACUAAGUUCAGACCCUUCUUUUCUUUCCUUCUUAUCAAUCGAUUCCACCAAGGAAACCAAGGCAUGCUUUCCUUUUUGUCCUUUUCUUUGUGAAGGGGGACAAGAUCAUACUCUUCUUCGAGACAAUUAAUUAUUGGGGAAUUCAAAGAAAGAGGACCAAGAUUAUAAGUAAUAGCUGUGGACAACAUGUGGGUUAUAUUCACGAUGAUUGCCCUCCUCUCACCAACAGCCCUUGUUAGUUUCAUAUGGGAGCUAGUCAGAUCAUCCCUCAGGCAUCUAGGUACCGCUUCAAGACAAAGGCUCUUAGGAUUGCAUCGGAAACUUGAAAAGGUUCAUAGGUAUUAAUUUCUGGGAUUGCUACAAAAUUGAUGAGUGUUAUAAUUGGAGAACUUCUAUUUUGUGUUUCAAUUCAUGUAUGUAUGCUGGACAAAUAUUGAAACAUUGUCUUUUUUCUCUUUUUUUUUAAUUAUUAUUAAAUCCAUUACUUUUUAUGGUUCAUUUCACUGUUCCUUAGUGUUUAAAUUUAUAAACAUAUGCUUUCUUGAUUAUGAAUUAUAUAAUGGCUUGUCAAUUUUCAAUGAGUUGAAGAUGGUUCUCUUGUCUUCAAAUAUAUAGAGAAUGAUUGUACAUUGCUCUAAAGAGAACUGUUUUGCUUGUUUGGCCUGAAGCAUGCCCUAAGAAAGUAUUGACAGCAUUCCAAAUUUCAAUGAUUUGAAUGGAGCUGACAUGGGAGAUUUGAUUUAUGAAGUUGGAAGAACUGUUCUGUGAUUGGUCAUUCAACUCCCCUUCCCAUGCCCUCCAUCCUUCUGGCCUCUCUUGCCUACUGGCAAGUUUAAUUAUUCAUUUUAGUUUCAUGAUCAUGAUUGGCAUCAGAACUUAAAUUUGUAUACAUGAAGUCUUGACGAGAUUGAAAUUUGGAAGAUGUAAGACAAAGAAGCCUAUUCUCUGCUUAAUGCUGUAUGUGUCUCGUUUAUUCUGUCACCGGACAAAAUUAGUUUUCCCUUGUGUAACUCUGUGUAGCAGUUCUUGCAUUGUCAUAACUUAAAGGAAUGAAGUUCCUGGGUUCCUUACCUGCCUUGCAUAUUUGUUUAAGAAGUGGUGCAUGAAGUAAUUAAAUGCUAUGGGAAAUAUUUCUAGGUUGCGUUUUGGAUAUGUAGGCAUUUGAGAUGAAAGAACUUGAACUUAAUUAGUUUUAAUGUACAGUUUUGGGUUGGGUAGAUUCAUUUAAUGGGUACUAAAUUAAUUUAUGUGGAUUUUAACUUAUUUGAGUAUGAAUUUAAAACAAUUACGAAAGAGAUGUAAUUUCGCAUAUUGUAAUAUUUGGUUUUACCUUAUGUCUUUUUAAAUAUUUUUCUUAUAAAUUUAUUUUUUUAAUUACACAAUUCGUACUAAAAACAAUCUUAAAUUUUAAAUCUCUCUAUCCAAUGCACCAUUAGUGGAAAGUGGUUGGUACUGGGUAGUUUUCUGUGUUUGAUGUCACUUGAACUUUUUCUUUGGUUCCUGAAUUGCAAACCAUUCUUUGAGCUGGGAGAAGAAUGGAACUCUGCAGUCUCCACUUCUGGUGGAUCUGCUUAUGUUUAUUAACCAACAUUUUGGCAUGUACCUUCUAUUACUAUAUUUCAAAAUUAAUGGUAGUCAUUAUGAUGAUUCAAGAAAUUGGUUAGUUACAAGGAUAACAAAGGAUGAAUUAUAGCUGUUGUGUGUGUGUGUG
rnacentral:misc_RNA from 1 species